rnacentral:rRNA from 1 species
GACGAACGCUGGCGGCGUGCUUAACACAUGCAAGUCGAACGGAAAGGCCCUGCUUUUGUGGGGUGCUCGAGUGGCGAACGGGUGAGUAACACGUGAGUAACCUGCCCUUGACUUUGGGAUAACUUCAGGAAACUGGGGCUAAUACCGGAUAGGAGCUCCUGCUGCAUGGUGGGGGUUGGAAAGUUUCGGCGGUUGGGGAUGGACUCGCGGCUUAUCAGCUUGUUGGUGGGGUAGUGGCUUACCAAGGGUUUGACGGGUAGCCGGCCUGAAAGGGUGAACGGCCACAUUGGGACUGAGAUACGGCCCAGACUCCAACGGGAGGCAGCAGUGGGGAAUAUUGCACAAUGGGCGGAAGCCUGAUGCAGCAACGCCGCGUGCGGGAUGACGGCCUUCGGGUUGUAAACCGAUUUCGCCUGUGACGAAGCGUGAGUGACGGUAAUGGGUAAAGAAGCACCGGCUAACUACGUG